rnacentral:rRNA from 1 species
CGCACGGGUGAGUAACACGUAUCCAACCUGCCGUCUACUCUUGGACAGCCUUCUGAAAGGAAGAUUAAUACAAGAUGGCAUCAUGAGUUCACAUGUUCACAUGAUUAAAGGUAUUCCGGUAGACGAUGGGGAUGCGUUCCAUUAGAUAGUAGGCGGGGUAACGGCCCACCUAGUCUUCGAUGGAUGGGGGUUCUGAGAGGAAGGUCCCCCACAUUGGAACUGAGACACGGUCCAA